CGUGCAGCUGUCACCGCCCACUCUGGGGGCGGGGCGAUUUCCCUUGGGUGCGCGCGCAGCUUUCUCUAGUUAGUCUGCGGACCCCAGAGGCCGCUCUCCGGCCCGCGCCCUGGACCCCCUUUCUCCACAGGCGCCCCCGAACCGGGGCCUUCGGAACCCAGGGCUCAGGAGGGCUGAGCAGACCCGGCCGCAGCUGCCGCGGGGCCUUCCGGUCACGGCAGCCUCGGGACUCAGUGCAGCUGCCCAGGGCCUCCGUGGCUGAGCCUGGGGGUUCUCUGGACAGGAUCCGAACCACUGGCAGAUGUGGGUGCCUGUUGCUGUUGAUUUCUCAACAAUGUUGCAGUGGAUUCAUUUCUGAGAGGAACAGCGUGGUGGGGGCAAGAGGCGCGGAGUCACUACACAGACCCCGGGAGUCCAGUGAAAGCAGGCUUGAGGCAGAGUGGACAUUGUGAGAGAGAGAGAGACAGACAGAAAGGACUUCCUUUUUGCCGUUGGUUCACCCUCCAACAGCCGCCGCAGCCAGCGCACUGCGGCCGGCGCACCACACUGAUCCGAAGCCAGGAGCCAGGUGCUUCUCCUGGUCUCCCAUGCAGGUGCAGGGCCCAAGGGCUUGGGUGAUCCUCCACUGCACUCCCGGGCCACAGCAGAGAACUGGACUGGAAGAGGUGCAAGCAGGACAGAAAUCCAGCUCCUGGACCGGGACUAGAUCCCCGUGUGCUGGCACCACAGGUGGAGAAUUAGCCUAUUGAGCCGCAGUGCCGGCCUUAUAUUCUAAUUUUAUAUUUGCUCUAUUUCAUUGUUAUUUCAGGAACUGUGAAGGGAGUGCAUGGUGAUUUUUUCUAUUUUUUAUUUUCUGGGAUUUUUUCUUAGCUCUGGUGUCUUAUUGACUCACUUUUCUUGAGCAUUGUGGUUAUCUUCUCCUUAGUUAUCAAAGAUAGCAAUAGCCCUGAUCUCUUUUUAAGCAAGAAAAGAAAAGCAUUAAAAGACAGAGCAUGUAGUUCACUUGGUCAGAUGACUUUCCUGACCUCCUGUGGUUUGUCUUGGUCUUUGCUGUACAAUUCUCUUUCCUCAUUAAUUUCUUCAUCUUCCCAUUACUCAGCAAAAGAGUGAUUCCACAGCCAUUUUCCUGUAUUGAUUGGGACUCAGAGUAAGUAAGACGAAAAGUGGAGGGGUUCAAGAAGCUAAUGUUAAAUGCUGUGUAGGUAAAAGAUUCUGGGAAAUUCUCUAAACAAGCAGAUUAUUCCAUAUGUUAAGUUACUGGGACUGUAAGUAACUGUAGAAUCUUCUGCACAGUAUAUCAGGUGCUGUACUAUCAUGAUCUGUAUGAUAAGAUGUAAAAGCACUUAUUUUCUGUGUGUCUGUAUAUCAAUAAAUUCUGAUGGAUCAAUUAAAAUUCACAUAUUUUACAGAAUUACUUCAUCCAUUUCUUUUAAUUUAAAGAAACAUCAUUUUGGAGGGUUGGCGCUGUGGCUCAAUGGGUUGACACCCUGGCCUGGAGCGCCGACAUCCCAUAUAGGCAUAGGUUCUAGUCCCAGCUUCUCUUCUUCUGAUCCAGCUCUCUGCUGUGGCCUGAGAUGGCAGUGGAGGAUGGUCCAAGUCCUUAGGCCCCUGUACCCACAUGGGAGACCCGUAGGAGGCUCCUGUCUCCUGGCUUUGGAUUGGCACAGCUCUGGCCAUUGUGGUCAUCUGGGGAGUGAGCCAACGGAUGGAAGACCUCUCUCUCUGUCUCUACCUCUCUCUGUGUCCCUGUCUUUCAAAUAAAUAGAAUAAAUCUUAAAAGAAAGAGAAAUAUCAUUUUCACUUUUAUGGAAAGGGGAAUAACUGCUGUACAAUGAAAAGGAAAUUCCCUCAUCAAUAAAACUUAAAAAUAUUCAGAAAUCAUUUACUGGAAUAUAGUAUGUUCUUAUGUGUUUGAUUAUAGAUGACACAAAUACACUAUCUAUAUUCUGUUUUGGUUAAAAUUUCUGCAUGUGUGACUUCAUUUUUUCCUUAUAACCCCAAUUCUUUUAGUAUCAUAAGAUGGAAAAUGAGUUCUAUAUAGGCCCCAAUAUAGGUUAUUAUUGGCAAGGACUUGUUUAGUUUUCCUGCUCUAAAUAUUCAAAUGUUAUAACUUUAGAAAGAAAUAUAUUUAUUUACUAUACUAAUGCCUUUCUAAAAAUUUUGUAAAUCUCUAUCUUCCUUUGUAUAUACUGAUAAUACUUCUGUUACGCUGCUGGAAUUUACAGUUGUGUGUAAUGCUGAAGAACUGAAACUGUCUUGUUCACAGCUUACAGGACUGAGCAUGGCAACUUUACUGGAAGCAAGUGACCAUAGGAUUACCAUUUAAGGCAGUAUUAGCCUCCAUCUUUGAAGCCUGACACCAUUUUACUGAUGCUGGAAGAAGAAAUGGGAAAUUUCUAACAGAAGUCUGUAUUUAAUGUCAUUAGCUUUGGUAGAACACUACUAAAUAUAUAAUUAAUAUUUUAAGUUAUAACAAUUGUAAAACAUAAAAAUAAAAAUACUAUACCCUUAGGUUAAAUGAAUUGGGAUAAAUAAGUGCAUUUCCUCUAGCUACCUCCCCUAUACCUGUAGAGAUUAGCAUUAGGACAUUUAAGAAGCCAUAUUGUGCUGGAGCAGAGAGAAGAGGAAAGAAACAAACAGAAGUCAGGAGAUGUUAAUAGUUUUGGAUGUUGGGAGGAACAGCUAAACAGAAUUCUAUAAUUAAUUUAGAAUGUUUGAUCCAAAUUUGUGAGGGCUGUGGUGAGUGCUUGGAUUUAAGGAGCAUAAACUCUUAUUCCUUUCAACAACCUUAUUCAACAACAUGAUUGCUGAUUCUUCAUUCUAACAGAAGAUUUAGAGAUUUGCUCUCAGGAGAGCUAGACAA